AACGAACGCUGGCGGCAUGCCUAACACAUGCAAGUCGAACGAGGCCUUCGGGUCUAGUGGCGCACGGGUGCGUAACGCGUGGGAACCUGCCCUUAGGUUCGGAAUAACUCCCCGAAAGGGGUUCUAAUACCGGAUAAUGUCUUCGGACCAAAGAUUUAUCGCCUUUGGAUGGGCCCGCGUUGGAUUAGCUAGUUGGUAGGGUAAAAGCCUACCAAGGCGACGAUCCAUAGCUGGUCUGAGAGGAUGAUCAGCCACACUGGGACUGAGACACGGCCCAGACUCCUACGGGAGGCAGCAGUGGGGAAUAUUGGACAAUGGGCGAAAGACUGAUACAGCAAUGCCGCGUGAGUGAUGAAGGCCUUAGGGUUGUAAAGCUCUUUUACCCGGGAUGAUAAUGACAGUACCGGGAGAAUAAGCGCCGGCUAACUCCGUG
rnacentral:rRNA from 1 species